UAAGGAAUAUUGCUCAAUGGGAGAAAUCCUGAAGCAGCAACGCCGCGUGGAGGAUGAAGGGUCUAUGACUUGUAAACUCCUGUAAAGAAGGAAAAAAUUCCCAUUAGAUGGGAGAUGAUGGUACUUCUGGAGUAAGCCCCGGCUAACUACGUGCCAGCAGCCGCGGUAAUACGUAGGGGGCAAGCGUUAUCCGGAUUUACUGGGUGUAAAGGGAGCGUAGACGGCACUGCAAGUCUGGAGUGAAAGCCCGGGGCUCAACCCCGGGAUUGCUUUGGAAACUGUGGUGCUAGAGUGCAGGAGAGGUAAGUGGAAUUCCUAGUGUAGCGGUGAAAUGCGUAGAUAUUAGGAGGAACACCAGUGGCGAAGGCGGCUUACUGGACUGUAACUGACGUUGAGGCUCGAAAGCGUGGGGAGCAAACAG
rnacentral:rRNA from 1 species